GCCAUCAAAAGAAAGAGUAGAAGAUUAGAGCUAAAGGACGUUACAGAAGUAGCACUGCUCUUAUUUUGUAUAGAAGCAGUCUACUGAUAUCCGGAAGCAUGUAUUUCUAUGUAUUCAUUUCAUUCACAUGAUCGUAUUCACAGAAAACAUUUUGCAUAACAUUUAGGCAUUUUCGUACAGCAUGCAUGCAUUACAUGCAUAUUACUUUCAUGGGCAAUCAAAGAAGUCCAGUCCAACAGGGGAUUAAAAGAUUGAUACUUGUCCCUCAAACAAAAUAGAAGAAUAUUAGAACUAGAGGACAUUAAAGUACCAUUAAGCAAUUUUCUGAAUAGUACAGGUCUACUGUUAUCCAAAAGUACAUGUUAUCCUGUAUCCAUUGACAUGCCAACAAAUAAAAGAGCUGUGCCAUUCACUGUUGUGCUCAGGCACAUGCAUGCAGCACGCGUGCCUCAUGCAUAUCACUAUAGAUGGCAGUCAUGGAUAUCCGGUCAAACGUUAAUUGCUACAGCACAUAAUGGAUGCAACAAUCCUUUAUCAGGGCAGAUAAACAGGGAUCAUCUUUUGUGGAAUUCUUUACCAGAUUGGAAUGAAAGAAGGCUAUAAUUGGCCAUAAUGACAUGCAAUUAACAAAUCCAAAAACUUAGGCCCAGCCAGUGAUGUGAACAUGCUUGAUGGUUAUGGUCAUUAUUUUGCAACAAAAUUGCAUAUGAUAUAGUAUUCAAAUGAUUAUUAUUUUAAGUAGCACAUUUUCAAGAAUGGUUUGUAAAAAGCUUACAUAAGGCAUAAUUCUUUAAUCACGUGAAAUGGAGAGAACUUUUUGGAAAGUUCUCCUAUGAAUUUGCAUGAGCUGACAACAAAAGUCUGAUAGGCAUUUAAGUUUGGAAGCCAGAUCCUAAAUUUUCCAUCUGCUAUCGUGUAUGUCUUAAGGAUCAAAAUAUAGUAAUGCUCCAUAGAUAAUCUCAUUUCGAUGGGAAAAGGUUAGAUGAUGAUGACAAAUUCGCAUGUAAAUAGUAGCUAAUAAAACCAUACAUCAAUCCUAUAAGCAAGACCCUAAGUUAGUGCCAACCUGUUCCUCAACCAUGAUACUGUCUCUCCU
rnacentral:lncRNA from 1 species